GAUGAACGCUAGCGACAGGCUUAACACAUGCAAGUCGAGGGGCAUCGGGACGUAGCAAUACGUUGCCGGCGACCGGCGGAUGGGUGAGUAACGCGUAUGCAACCUGCCCACGACAGGGGGAUAGCCCGUUGAAAGACGGAUUAAUACCCCAUAAAACAGGGGUUCCGCAUGGGACUAUUUGUUAAAGGGUUUUCCGCGAGGGGGACACCGGUUGUGGAUGGGCAUGCGUUCCAUUAGGCAGUUGGUGAGGUAACGGCUCACCAAACCGACGAUGGAUAGGGGAACCGAGAGGUUGGUCCCCCACACUGGUACUGAGAUACGGACCAGACUCCUACGGGAGGCAGCAGUGAGGAAUUUUGGUCAAUGGACGGAAGUCUGAACCAGCCAAGUCGCGUGAAGGAAGGCGGCCCUAAGGGUUGUAAACUUCUUUUGUAAGGGAAUAAAGGACGGUACGUGUUACCGGUUUGCAAGUACCUUACGAAUAAGGAUCGGCUAACUCCGUGCCAGCAGCCGCGGUAAUACGGAGGAUCCGAGCGUUAUCCGGAUUUAUUGGGUUUAAAGGGUGCGUAGGCGGCUCAGUAAGUUGGGUGUGAAAGCCCUCGGCUUAACCGAGGAACUGCGCCCAAAACUACUGGGCUCGAGGGAGACAGAGGUGAGCGGAACUACGGGUGGAGCGGUGAAAUGCGUUGAUAUCCGUAGGAACACCAGGGGCGAAAGCGGCUCACUGGGCCUCUUCUGACGCUGAGGCACGAAAGCUAGGGGAGCGAACGGGAUUAGAUACCCCGGUAGUCCUAGCCGUAAACGACGAGCACUAGAUCGAAGGGUACUCCAUAGCCUUUUGGUCGUAGCGAAAGUGUUAAGUGCUCCGCCUGGGGAUUAUGGUCGCAAGGCUGAAACUCAAAGGAAUUGACGGGGGCUCACACAAGCGGUGGAGGAUGUGGCUUAAUUCGAGGCUACGCGAAGAACCUUAUCCUAGUCUUGACAUGCACGGAUUAACUCCCUGAAAGGGGAGCCACGCCCGCAAGGGUGGAACGUGCACAGGUGCUGCAUGGCUGUCGUCAGCUCGUGUCGUGAGAUGUCGGGUUAAGUCCCUUAACGAGCGAAACCCUUGUCGCUAGUUGCCAGCGAGUCAUGUCGGGGACUCUAGCGAGACUGCCGGUGUUAAACCGGAGGAAGGUGGGGAUGACGUCAAGUCCUCAUGGCCUUUAUGACUAGGGCCGCACACGUCCUACAAUGGCGUGCACAAAGGGAAGCAAACCUGCGAAGGCAAGCAAAUCCCAAAAAUCACGCCUCAGUUCGGAUUGUAGGCUGCAACUCGCCUACAUGAAGCCGGAAUCGCUAGUAAUCGCGGGUCAGCAUACCGCGGUGAAUGUGUUCCUGAGCCUUGUACACACCGCCCGUCAAGCCAUGGGAGUCGGGGGUACCUGAAGUUCGUAACCCUUCGGGGAGCGACCUAGGGUAAGACCGGUGACUGGGGCU
rnacentral:rRNA from 1 species